rnacentral:rRNA from 1 species
UGAGGAAUAUUGGUCAAUGGGCGAGAGCCUGAACCAGCCAAGUCGCGUGAAGGAAGACAGUCUUAAGGAUUGUAAACUUCUUUUAUACGGGAAUAACGGGCGAUACGAGUAUUGCAUUGAAUGUACCGUAAGAAUAAGCAUCGGCUAACUCCGUGCCAGCACCCGCGGUAAUACGGAGGAUGCGAGCGUUAUCUGGAUAUAUUGGGUUUAAAGGGUGCGUAGGUUGUUCGGUAAGUCACCGGUGAAACAAGAGCGAUCUACGUUCAGCUUGCCGUUGAAACUGCCGGGCUUGAGUUCAGUGGCGGCAGGCGGAAUUCGUGGUGUAGCGGUGAAAAGCAUAGAUAUCUCGAGGAACUCCGAUUGCGAAGGCAGCUUGCCAUAGUGUGACUGACACUGAAGCACGAAGGAGUGGGUAUCAAACACGAUUAGAUACCCCGGUAGUCCACGCAGUAAACGAUGAUUGCUAGGAGUUUGCGAUAUACCGUCAAGGUUUCACAGCGAAAGCGAUAAGUAAUCCACCUGGGGAGUACGCCGGCAACGGUG